GCGGUGGAAAAAAAACAGCAGCUGCAUCAGACGCACGGCAGAGCAGAGACAGAUGGAAGCAAAACAGCCAAACCAAUAAGUGAUAAACAAAUCCAGGAAAUCUUAACGAGCUCCACGUGUUUUGCAGGCACUUGAGCUUUGAUUUACGGUUUUUAUCCGCCUCCCAAAAACUUUACGUUGUAGUUCUCUACAUGCCCACCAGAUGUCCCUCCUGCUCACUGCAGCAGCUGCAGCCCUUUACUUAUUCACACUCACUUCUUCCCCACAGGAGGAGCUGUGUGCUGCCAGACGCAUUGCUUCAGGAGAAAACCCUGCGUUUCCUGACAUCCAGUGAAUCAAAGAACUCGAUAUUAAACGCGGAUGCUGCUGCAGUGCAGAUGGGCAUGGAUGAGGACAGAGAAGGAAAUUCGAGUAAAUGAAUGUUCUAAAGAUUUUUUUUUAGUGCUCAUUUGACAAGUCAAGGUAAGUGAAGAAUCGAAAAGUUGAUUUAACUUAAUAUAAACUUCACAUUCACUUAGAUGACUCAUCCACCGCAGGGAAACGAGCAUUUGUUGUAGCUGCAGGGGGUCCGGCCUCAUCUGACAGAACGCUGGAAGACCGAACGGAUAGAAGACAUCAGUAAAUCCGGUGGAUUUCUUCAAGCAAAGACCGAAAGUGAGCGGGGUUGAUAUAUUCGACGCUGCUGCUACUUAUAAACAAACUUAACUUUAUACAGAAAGCAAUGAUUCAAAGAACAGAAAAUUAUGUUUUUGGAGGAACGUUUACCAAAAACACGAAACCGACGACAAAUCCCAAAGCACUUUACGAUUCGAAGGGCCAUUUUUGCCUUCAGUCCAGCCAAAUAAAAGUCAUUUAGAGACACCAAUGUUACGUAAUCAUUGACAACUUAUAACUUUAUAUAAACAUCUUCUAGAUGAAAUUUGUUGUCAUUUUAAAGGGCCACCUUUACAGAAAGAAAUAUGUUUAGGCUUUCAAGUACAGAACAUGCAUUUUGCUUAAAGAGAACACUUUCUUCUGUUGUAUGUGAAUUUUGUGGAAAAUUAGAAAAAAAAAAUUGACUUAAUAUCAUAAAACAAGAUGAAAAAUUUACUUUUAGUGUCAUUCUGAACAACAGAAAAGCUGAAAAACUGCUAAAAACUUUAAUUCAUUAAAUUGACAUUCAUUCAAUAAUUUUGAUCAUGUGCUACAAUUAGGGUCUGCGUCAGAUUAAAAACACCUCGUAAAACUAAUAUUAACGCUAAUAAUAAAUAACAUGCUACUCAUUCUAAUCUGAAACAACUUUUUAUUGACUGCCAGCAAAAAGAUCCUCAUAAAUAACAGAAAAUUUAAAACAUCAGUGUGUGUGUGUGUAUUUAAUAUAUUUAAUUUGUUUCACAUAUUGAACUGAGUUGGUAAUAUGAAUAAGCAUUUCAACGAUGUUCUAACUUAUUGAAUAUGACUGCAUAUUUAAAACAUUAUUUAUUGCUGUAGAAUCCGUCGCCAAAGUUAUUGAGAGUCUUUGUUAAAGAAACACACCAGGCAGGUCAGAGGUGCAGCUGUAAAGAAGUGGCAGCAUCAUGCUGCGCUCCAGCUGGUCAGAAGUAAUGAGGUCAGUGUUAUUAGUCCUAUUAAAAGGGACAGCAACAUAAACAUGCAAGCAGAGCUACAAUGGAACAAUUUAGAUCAAAGCAUUUUCAUGUUUUGGAAUGGCCUAGUCAAAGUCCAGAGCAAAAUCCAACUGAGAAUCUGUGUGGUUCACAUCUGCCCUCUAUCCAGUCUGACUAAACUUGAGCUGGUUUGUGCAAAAUGGUGAAAAAAGAAAAACUUAGAACUUUGUGUCAUUUCCCAUCAACUCCCCAAUUUUGCACUUCUUUGUGUCUAAUCCAUAAAAACCUGAAAGAAUGAAUGAAAGGCCGCCGUUUUCAACGCGACAAAAAUAUUUCAAACAACUGGUAUUUUUAUAUUUAAAGCAAUAUUUCAGCAGACCGGCUCAUGCUGCAGUUGUUUUCCUUUACAAAAACAUCCGUUGGGUCAAAUUGUUUCCACAGAGAGAAACUUCGGUCACAGAGCUGCAGAAGAAGAAAUUCAAGUAAUCUGAGGUGGUGACAUUGAGACAAAGAGGGAAAAAGAAAGCAAUCACACAGACAGGUUGCAGAUGGCAGCACAGAGAGAGCUGAACCUGAGAAAAUUAAAUAUACCACUGUUCCUGAAGUCAAGCAGGGUACAGAUCCACACACAUACACACACACACCCUGCCUGGUUUGGGGCCAAAUUAGGAAGCUAACUUUCUCCUCUGGUGGGCGCGGCGGAGGCUGAUGACUCACUCGCAUUAAUCUUUCUGACGCUGCUCUCCAGCAGCGGCGAAAGAAGCCAACGGGAGCUUUCCCAUAAGAAAGUUCAAAUAAUGCGUUCUGAUUCUCGUUCAUUGCCUUACAAAACCAUUUUUCAGAUUAUGUCACUUGGGAGACUAUGAGUAGGUGAUUCAAGGGGGCAGCAGAGAGGAAAAAAGGAGAAAGCGAAGUUGAAGAGAUUAUGAGCAAAGAGGGAACAGGAAGGAGAAGAGGUAAGAUGUAUAAACUGUUUAGUCGCCUCAAAAGUAUCCAUGACCGUAUUCAAACUAACCUGGUAAAUUAGCGGAGAGACUCAGUUAAAAUUUUUAACCAAGUUAAUUGCAGGGUUAGUAAUUACUCAAUCGCUUUUUAAU